ACUCGGGCCCGAGGCGGGGGGAUGCCUUCCAACGGGCAGGAGAGUAAGGUGGCCACAGUCACCCUGAAGGUUUGGUGACGGGUUCUUAAAACCGGGUACUUCCUUCCUGAUGACCAAGCCCUCUUCUAUUUUCCGAAGGCUACGGGGUUUUUGGAAGCGGGGUUAGGGGGAACGGUCUCUCGGCAAACCUCAAACAUGCACGAAGCAAGUCCACUGGCGCUCCGUGACUUUGCUGAGGCUUUUCGGGGGGGAGGGAGGGCCUGGGGUUGCAAGCCCAGCAUUGGCAGAGCAAAUAACUGAGUGUUUACCAAGCAGCGUUCUGUGGUUUGGGGCUUGUAUAAAUAAAAGAUAGACCGAUGAGAAAGUCCAAACGGAAAGACCAGCUUGGAAUGCCUCCCUUGGCGGGGGUGGGGGCGGGCCGUGGCCGACAUUUUUCCAUCCCAGAAGGAAAAAGAUAGCACUGUGUUUCCAGCACCUCUGAGGCAUGAGUCGCGGAGAAACGCUACACGCAGCGUGGGCCUCGUGCCGACAGAUUUUAUGGUGAUUUCCUGCAGCAGCCACAGGAUGCUGCGACAAAUGGAAAGGAAAGGGUCGCGCGGGGCUCAGGCAGGAUCCUUGCCCGGGUCUGCUUACUCUGGGUCUGGAGACGUCUUCGCGUAGACACUUGGUUGGGUGCGCGCCCGCGGGCAAACCACAACGCUGGGAAUCCCUCUCCUGCCGAGAUCUGUUGCUUCCGGAAAGAUCGUGCCUCCGGGUGUGAGAAACAACCAGUACAGAUCAUUUCAGCGAUUUGCCCCCAAGGUUUCCGAACUGAGAAGAAGGAUGGACGCCGACAAUGGAGCAGAGGCUGGGGCAAGGCGGCGCCUGUCCCUCUGGCCUCUCGCUGCACGCCUCGGUCGGAGAAGGGCGGUGUGGCCUGGGGGGUAGGGCCAUCCCAGGCGAGGCCCCGCCGUGCCACAGCGACACCACCACACGGGGCCUGCCGGUCCACCCGGCAACCGAGGGAUUUGGCCACAGCCUCCCGCCCUUCCUUCCAGAGCUGAGACCCAGAGAUGCACAGUAAUUUGAAAUGCUCCUUCUCUCAGUGUUUAUAGAGUAGCAAUACAAUGGCCUUUGGAUCCUUCAAUUGAUCCUCUUGG